AAAUCAACGCUGGCGGCGUGCCUAACACAUGCAAGUCGAGCGGGAAAGGGGGCCUCGGCCCCUGAGUAUAGCGGCGGACGGGUGAGUAAACACGUCGGGUAAUUUUGCCCUUGGGUGUGGAAAUAACUCAGGGAAACUUGAGCUAAUACCGCAUGACAUCCCCUUCACACACGAGUCGGGGAUCAAAGCCGGGGACCCUUCGGGCCUGGCGCCUGAGGAGAAGCCCGCGCCCGAUUAGCCAGUUGGGAGGUAAUGGCUCACCAAGGCUUCGAUCGGUAGCCGGCCUGAGAGGGCGGACGGCCACACUGGGACU
rnacentral:rRNA from 1 species